rnacentral:rRNA from 2 species
GUGAGUAACACGUAAGGAACCUGCCUCAAGGAUUGGGAUAACUCCGAGAAAUCGGAGCUAAUACCGGAUAGUUCAACGGACCGCAUGGUCCGCUGAUGAAAGGCGCUUCGGCGUCACCUUGAGAUGGCCUUGCGGUGCAUUAGCUAGUUGGUGGGGUAACGGCNCACCAAGGCGACGAUGCAUAGCCGACCUGAGAGGGUGAUCGGCCACACUGGGACUGAGACACGGCCCAGACUCCUACGGGAGGCAGCAGUAGGGAAUCUUCCACAAUGGACGAAAGUCUGAUGGAGCAACGCCGCGUGAGUGAUGAAGGUUUUCGGAUCGUAAAACUCUGUUGUAAGGGAAGAACACGUACGAGAGGUAAUGCUCGUACCUUGACGGUACCUUACGAGAAAGCCACGGCUAACUACGUGCCAGCAGCCGCGGUAAUACGUAGGUGGCAAGCGUUGUCCGGAAUUAUUGGGCGUAAAGCGCGCGCAGGCGGCCUUUUAAGUCUGAUGUGAAAGCCCCCGGCUCAACCGGGGAGGGCCAUUGGAAACUGGAAGGCUUGAGUACAGAAGAGAAGAGUGGAAUUCCACGUGUAGCGGUGAAAUGCGUAGAGAUGUGGAGGAACACCAGUGGCGAAGGCGACUCUUUGGUCUGUAACUGACGCUGAGGCGCGAAAGCGUGGGGAGCAAACAGGAUUAGAUACCCUGGUAGUCCACGCCGUAAACGAUGAGUGCUAGGUGUUGGGGGGUUUCCGCCCCUCAGUGCUGAAGCUAACGCAUUAAGCACUCCGCCUGGGGAGUACGGCCGCAGGCUGAACU